rnacentral:rRNA from 1 species
GACGAACGCUGGCGGCGUGCCUAAUACAUGCAAGUCGAACGCUUCUUUCCUCCCGAGUGCUUCCACUCAAUUGGAAAGGGGAGUGUCGGACGGGUGAGUAACACGUGGGUAACCUACCCAUCAGAGGGGGAUAACACUCGGUAACAGGUGCUAAUACCGCAUAACAGUUUAUGCCGCAUGGCAUAAGAGUGAAAGGCGCUUUCGGGUGUCGCUGAUGGCUGGACCCGCGGUGCAUUAGCUAGUUGGUGAGGUCACGGCUCACCAAGGUCACGAGGCAUAGCCGACCUGAGAGGGUGAUCGGCUACACUGGGACUGAGACACGGCACAGACACCGACGGGAGGCAGCAGUAGGGAAUCUUCCGCAAUGGACGAAAGUCUGACCGAGCAACGCCGCGUGAGUGAUGAAGGUGUUCGGAUCGGAAAACGCUGUUGUUAGUGAAGAACAAGGGCGUUAGUAACUGAGCAGCUCCUGACGGUAUCUAAACAGAAAGCCACGGCUAACUACGUG